rnacentral:rRNA from 1 species
AUCGGUGACAGGUGGUGGCAUGGUUGUCGUCAGCUCGUGUCGUGAGAUGUUGGUUAAGUCCCGCAACGAGCGCAACCCCUAUUGUUAGUUGCCAUCAUUCAGUUGGGCACUCUAGCGAGACUGCCGGUAAUAAACCGGAGGAAGGUGGGGAUGACGUCAAAUCAUCAUGCCCCUUAUGACCUGGGCUACACACGUGCUACAAUGGUUGGUACAACGAGUCGCGAGUCGGUGACGGCGAGCUAAUCUCUUAAAGCCAAUCUCAGUUCGGAUUGUAGGCUGCAACUCGCCUACAUGAAGUCGGAAUCGCUAGUAAUCGCGGAUCAGCACGCCGCGGUGAAUACGUUCCCGGGCCUU